rnacentral:rRNA from 1 species
GAUUUUCGGCCUUUUUACAAAAACACAGCACUUUGCCAACUCGUAAGAGGAAGUAUAAGGUGUGACGCCUGCCCGGUGCUCGAAGGUUAAGAGGAUGCGUCAGUCGCAAGAUGAAGCGUUGAAUUGAAGCCCGAGUAAACGGCGGCCGUAACUAUAACGGUCCUAAGGUAGCGAAAUUCCUUGUCGGUUAAAUACCGACCUGCAUGAAUGGCGUAACGAGAUGGGAGCUGUCUCAACCAGAGAUUCAGUGAAAUUGUAGUGGAGGUGAAAAUUCCUCCUACCCGCGGCAAGACGGAAAGACCCCGUGGACCUUUACUACAACUUAGCACUGCUAACGGGAAUAUCAUGCGCAGGAUAGGUGGGAGGCUUUGAAGUAAGGGCUUUGGCUCUUAUGGAGA